UACGGAGGGAGCUAGCGUUGUUCGGAAUUACUGGGCGUAAAGCGCACGUAGGCGGCUUUGUAAGUUAGAGGUGAAAGCCCGGGGCUCAACCCCGGAACUGCCUUUAAGACUGCAUCGCUUGAAUCCAGGAGAGGUGAGUGGAAUUCCGAAGUGUAGAGGUGAAAUUCGUAGAUAUUCGGAAGAACACCAGUGGCGAAGGCGGCUACACUGGACUGG
rnacentral:rRNA from 1 species